AACGAACGCUGGCGGCAUGCCUAACACAUGCAAGUCGAACGAGACCUUCGGGUCUAGUGGCGCACGGGUGCGUAACGCGUGGGAACCUGCCCUUAGGUUCGGAAUAACUCCCCGAAAGGGGUGCUAAUACCGGAUAAUGUCUUCGGCCCAAAGAUUUAUCGCCUUUGGUUGGGCCCUCGUUGGAUUAGCUAGUUGGUAGGGUAAAAGCCUACCAAGGCGACGAUCCAUAGCUGGGCUGAGAGGAUGAUCAGCCACACUGGGACUGAGACACGGCCCAGACUCCUACGGGAGGCAGCAGUGGGGAAUAUUGGACAAUGGGCGAAAGCCUGAACCAGCAAUGCCGCGUGAGUGAUGAAGGCCUUAGAGUUGUAAAGCUCUUUUACCCGGGAUGAUAAUGACAGUACCGGGAGAAUAAGCUCCGGCUAACUCCGUG
rnacentral:rRNA from 1 species